rnacentral:rRNA from 1 species
AUUGAACGCUGGCGGCAUGCUUUACACAUGCAAGUCGAACGGUAACAGGCCGCAAGGUGCUGACGAGUGGCGAACGGGUGAGUAAUGCAUCGGAACGUGCCCAGUCGUGGGGGAUAAUGCAUCGAAAGCUGCGCUAAUACCGCAUACGAUCUAAGGAUGAAAGCGGGGGAACUCAAGGCCUCGCCCGAUUGGUGCGGCCGACUUCAGAUUAGGUAGUUUGUGGGGUAACGGCUCACCAAGCCAACGAUCUGUAGCAGGUCUGAGAGGACGACCAGCCACACUGGGACUGAGACACGGCCCAGACUCCUACGGGAGGCAGCAGUGGGGAAUUUUGGACAAUGGGGGAAACCCUGAUCCAGCGACGCCGCGUGAGGGACGAAGGUCUUCGGAUUGUAAACCUCUUUUAUUCGGGAAUAAGAAACCUGUAGAAAUAUAGGGAGUGAAUGUACCGGAUGAAUAAGCCACGACUAACUUCGUGCCAGCAGCCGCCGUAAUAC